rnacentral:lncRNA from 1 species
GGGCGCUGGCCCGCCGUGACAGCCCCGCGCUCCAGACCCCAGCGAUCCCGGACCGCAGCCGCCACGUUUGAGGACACCGGGCUGCAAGGAGCCUUGCAGAGCAAAGGAAAGGUUUGGACAGAAACGCCCGAGAGCUGCGUGGAGUGACUGCCGACGUGCGUGGGCACUUUUCCGUGUUUCGUCCCAGAGUUCUUGAUCGUGCUCACCCGAAGCUCCCUGUGAAGCCCAGGUGCUGCGCAGGGCUGACCCCGUUAUCUACGCUAUGGUCGCACCCCCACCGCGCGGGGCAUCGUGGACGCGGGAAGAAAUCAAAGGGGAUUUUCUGCCGGGAGUCCUCCCGCGGUGCUGCUGUGCUUAUGCAGUUAGCGUGCCCCUGUUCUUUGCUUUCUGGUGACCAGCAAAAGCUAGUAUUCAUAUUCCGAAAUGUCCUCCUACCUUCCUUGGUCUCACCUUUCGUAGGAGUAGGGUGUGACAGCUCAGUGAAGUAAAAGGCCUCUGUACAAAGAGUUUGGUUUCAGAUUACAUUUGCAUCCUGAUCCAAUUCCACCCAG